GGCGCGCGCCUCAGAGGCGGGAACGCGGCCGAGCGCUGAGGGGGCAGAUGUGGAGGCGGGAAAGGAGGGGAGGGCCGGGGGCGAGCAGACAGAGAGCGGCCGCGCCGAUGUGAUGAGUCACGCGAAGGCAGCCAGACGCGUAGGUUCCUCACAGGAACCCGGAGGAAACAUGAGUUUGUACUGCAUCAUCCAUGAGUCACCACCCUCAGGAGAACGCGUAUCAGUGCAAGUAUCCGAAAUAACAGUUGUAAGUUCAUUGUUAGGUGUUUUUCAGUAGUAAUUCGGAGACAGCUGGAGUUCCCGAAAACUGUGAUCAAAAUAAUAGUCAAGGAGUAUGGUCUUAAUUCUAAAAAGUCGGAUUACAAUGAUUUCCUAGGAAGCACAAGCAACAUCAACAAAUGUAUGAUUUAGCUUCGUGUUGCAUGACAAAAAAGCAAUUAAGCUAGCUAUCCAGGAAAAGAUUUUAAAAGCAUUUAAGAUAGCCUUUUUCUUAAUUUUUUUGCUAAUUGUGUAUUUCUGAGUUGUUUAAAACUCAAAGAGUAUCUGAGAGUAAUACCUACUCUGUUUCAUGUUGAAAUGUUGGAGUUACCAGAUGUCCUUGAUUCAUCUUGGCACUCCCGUGUGCUUUUCAUCAUUUGUCUGAUUGCAAAGGACACUAAUUAAAAUGAAAUAGAGUAGAACUUUGUACUCAGGAUACUUUGUCAAGUUUUGGCACUGUGGUCAUGUUAGUAUUGUUUUGUUUUGUUAUUAAGUAAAGUACUCAUGGCCCUAAGCCAUGCUGACAUUUGUUUCUGGGAGGGAAGGUGAAAAACCAUUCUUAUUAACCUGCAAUGUGGAACAUAUGGUAACUGUGGGUGGUAGGGCUAAGUUAGGCAGCCAGGAACCUGCUCUCACUUCGCUGCACAGAAACAGCAGGGUGGGCAAUUGCCACAGAAGGUAACCACAGUGCUCCUUGCUGCUGGCCAGAAAAGGAAGCUCUAAAUGCAACGUAUUAUCAGGUAAAGUUCUAAUCUGUGAGAGGUGCGUUUGGUACUAUUAUAAAAUGCUUUUAGUGUUUAGUAACUCUGGAAGCUAAAAUUAGAAUGCGUGCCCACACUCUGGAUUGCUGGGUAGCAGCAGUAUGAAUGGCUCCUAUGUGCUGAGGUCAGGUGAAUGGAAUAAACUCACAAUUCAUAAAGUUCUGAGGCUGAAAUCAUUGGUUUACAACUUGUGGUCAGAAGUGGAUGAGGCUUGCACCUGACCUGAGAAGGAAAUGCAGGUGUUUGUAUCCUGUUUUGGCUUCAUCGUGUUGUGUUCUAAGAAGGUUUUACAGUCCUGUGUUAGAAAACAAUUCUUUUAUUUUAGUCUUGAAAAUGUAUCUUCCUCUUUCUCGUUUUACUGGCGAGAAAGAAGCAGGAUUUAAGCAGGCCUUGAAGAGGUGACCUGAAUAGUAUGGCGUGCAAGGAGAAGUGCUUCUUAAUUUUUUGUAACCUUUGGAAGUAAUUCUUCUACUCUGACAAGUAGGAAGAAUAAAAAGACAGGUUGUUAAAAAGCAUUUGACAAUAACAUACCGAUGUGAUAUGUUCUGAUACUAUACAGAGGAGUGUAAUGGGAAAACCUAAUGGUGAAUAAAUUGCAGUCAAAGGUGAUCUCUUAAAAAUGCAGGGCUUUUGCAGUAAGCCAGAGGUAAUUUUAGAAGCUAUAUUCUGUUUUCCUGGUCAGAUGAAACCAUCAGAAAUGCAUACGUUUCAAAGCCUUUGACUGGUCUCAUUUUGAAGGCAAUUCUGCUGUUGAGUUUGCUGCAGUGUUGUAUAUGGGAUAAUAUAUGAAAUUAUACUUGUAAUAUGCUGUUGAAAGAGCUUAAAAUUCUAUGUGCUCAUAUGAUCAAUAUCUGUCACCUUGUGAAUGUGAACACAAGUCUGCAUUCUUGUUACAGCUCUUAAAACUCUAUGAUGUUAUUAUUGUUCAGCUUCACUAAAAUAACUUCAAUUGUUUAAGAACAGUGAGAAUUUUGUAGGAAUGCAGUGAGAAGGCUCUCAUUAACAAGCUUCAUCAAGCUCCAACUUAUUUUCAUAGCUUCAGCCUUUGCUCCUUUGCAGUUUCAAAAAGCACAGUAUCUUUGGCCACCACAAUUGUACUGGGACCUUCAUCAUAACAGUUAUUCUAUUAAGAUGUUCCUCUGAACCACGAUCUCUCUCCCUCUUGUGGUUUUUGGGGCCAAGUCAGCUUUUUAAGUUUAAUAUUCAUUGACUGUUUGGAAAUAACCACGUUCACUGCAAAACAGGAUUUUGGGCCUGAAUCCCAUUUCCAGCUAUCAUGGAAAGGAAAAUUCCAUUUGCAGUAUUCCACUCAUACCUUUCUUAGGAAAGGGGUUCCUUUUAAUAGCAAUAAUGAGAAAUAGGAUACUAGUCCAUGCCUAUUUAGUUAGAUUUGGAAAUCUGUUGGGGAAAAAUAUGUGGAGGAAAGAACAAACGAAAAGCUGAGCCCUUCAAAAUGAUGGAACGUGUCUGGAACACUCUCAGAGCAGACAUAGCAAGAUAUAGUACGACAUAUCUUGCUUCUCAUUAACAAAGGUCACUUGUUACAUCAUAAAAUCUUUGAUUGACUGAUUGAAGUGUGCCUGUAGAUUAAUGCCCAUGGGUUUACCUCAGCAAAACACAGCUGACCACGUAACACUCAGUAACGUGGUCUGGAUGUUGUCAAAUCAUGAGAUCAUCUUGCAGGCAGGAGCACGCCAGAGUCCAAUAACUUGUUAAGGUUGAUCCACUUCAGCUAUCAGUCACUCUUCAUUAUCACAAUUUCCUCUUACUGCUAAAUGGAGCUGGAGGGCGCAGACCUCCUAGAUAUCAGCAAACAACAGACUUUACUGACGUUGUUUCUGUGCCAGGCUCUUCCCCUAUGCUUUCCAUUUUUGUAGCAUAUUUCAUCUGCGGCUGACGUCCAACAGAACCAUACUGUGUGAAUAUAGCACUACUGGAAUUGCGAAGCCCGAAGCUCGCUUUUGUUCAGCAGAAGCAAUAAAAAGACUGUAUGUCACUUAAAUCACAUUUACACUCUGUUCUAGGGAUUUCACAGUGUGUGCAUAUUCUGCCCUUUCAGGAUAGAGGUGAAGUUCAUCCUAAAACGAAAACAAAGUUUAAGCCAGGCUCGUUAAAGUGCCUGGUGGGAUUUAAGACUUACUUUAAGUGACUUAUCGACAUCUUACUGUAGAUUCAAUUCUUGAUUCUGUGAUAUCCUUCUCCAGUCACAAGACUUUAAAUUUUACAGUCACUUACUUAGAAAUAUCUAUUAAAAAGGGAAAGAAAAGAAAAAAUUAUUGGCUCAUAUGAACGCCACCAACCAACCGCUGUUGUGCCCAUACUCCAGAUAUUAUGUUUAUAAUUCGUCUGCUAUAAAAGUACAGUUAAAAAAUGGUAGGAUUUACAGACUUUAAAAUAGGUAUGCUAAUUUCCUUUGAACAGCCUCAAAUAAUGUGCUUCAGUCAUAGGAGUUUGGGUUAAUUAUACAAAAUAAAUGAAUGAAUGACUUUAAAGAGAGACAUUUAUGUGAUGCCUCCCAUAACAUUUAUAGUCAAAUAUGCAGUAAGCCUGUAUAGUGAAAAAAGGUGUGACCAUUGAUGUUACAAUCUCCUGCUGACUAUCUCUCACUGUAUAGGCAUAAUUUCUAUGCUAAGGAGACAACUUGUUCUUCAGCCCAAAACAUUUUAUUUUAGCAACAUAAAUAAUAAAAACUGAAUCACUAAGGAAAUGUAGUUGUAACCGUGUUGCUAAAAGUGCAGUAGUUCACGCUAAAUAAAUUAGAGUAUUAGAAGGAUACACGUUGUAAAUUUAGAAGUCCAAAAUAAUGUCAUGUGAGAUACCAAGCUGAGCGUGUAUUCAAACAGCGUGCCUGGAGACUGUGCAAAAAACACCCACAGCCACUUAGAGCCAUUUAUUGUGGCCCAUAGAGCUUCUGCUUUGCGUUCCUAUAUACAUUACUUGAUAUUUUAUAUUUUAAACAUCAUCCCUUCUCAUUGUUUGCAAAUGAAGUCUAAUUUUUUUUUAUCCUGAUGCUUCUCAAGCUCUGUUUAAAUCACUGGCAAGAAUUUUUAAUUAAAAUAAAUUAACAUUACUAGCUAUAGUUCUUGAAGCAUGACUUCAAUAAAAUAUAUAUUCUUCUAUGCAUCCUUUCAGCAUAUAGUCUAACUUUAUACUGCUUAUAUAGUGAGUGAACCACUGCUUUUAAUACCAUGUAUUAUUUCUGUAGAUUGUUACAACUGCGUAGAGCUUAUUAGUCCUAAUAAAUAGAUGGGGCAUACUGUACAAAUACUCCUUGCUUGUAUGGAGCAAGAUGGUAGCUUACAAUUUAACAGUGGGUGCAUUUGUGGGUGAAAUUCAGAACUGGGAAGUGGGCCAGUUCCCGGUGAUUUCAUUUUUCAGUAUAGAGCAUCAAUGCAGAAAUCUUUCACUAGCUAAGGCAAGCCAACUUUCCUGACCCUAAUCGUCCCAAAUCAUUCUAUGGCUGGGAGCCACAAGACAUUGAGUACAUAGCUUUGGGAGCCAGGGAGAGGGGAAGCCCAGGAGCGGGUAGCAGCUGGCACUGGUUCCCAGUCACGGGGAGGACUGGUGCGGAGGAGGCCUGGGCAGGCUGCUUGGCAGCCCUGUGACACUGCCAAGUUCAGCAGCCGGUGGCUCACAUUUCCCUACCAUGAGGUGGCACUUGGAAUGGUUGGGAACCACAGGUUAAUUUCUCUGGUUUGAGUACUGUAAAGAGAAGUACUAUUUCCAUUACGUAUUCUGUUGUAAUAUUUGUAUUACUGCAACGUAAGCACUCUAUUUAAUUUCCCUCUAGGUACUCUGUCCUAGGGCAAGAAAGCAUUGAACCUCAGAAAAGCAACAAGAGCAAGCGAUUCCACUGAGCACAUGGGGCACAUGCCAAAACGUUUAUAUAGCUGAAAGCCCUGAGACAAAUACUGCACAUCUGAGAAAGGUAACUCAUACUGAACGGAUGACAGCAGCCCCACCAAGGCUCCCCAUCUCACUGCAGGAGAAGGGUUGGUCUGAGCAUUCCAACACAAGCCACUGAGUUCAGCUUUAGAAACUAAAGAAACCUACUUCCUGCCGUAUCAGAGCACUCAGACUGCCCAGCUUUGCUGCCAGUCAAGCAAAUUCUGGCACGCCAGCUGAAUUUAAUUCCACAUAGCUUGCAAACAGUCUAACUCAAAAACAAACAAGAGACUCACUGAACUAAACCAUUCCUGAACCUCUGUGAUUGAUCACUUCUUUAUCAAGUGUUUAUUUAGCAAGUGUUUGUACUAAACUGCUCACUUGUUCAAUAGAAAAGUUAAGUUUCCCUUGAACAAAGAAGAAAAAAGGCUACACAAUGACAACCGCUCCCUUUCAAGGUCACCAGGUACCCAAUUUAUGAGCGAAAGCACUCAAAGCAGGAGGCUCUGCAAAAGAAGCAGUCACGUAACAUUUGUCUCCCUUGGUGCCCACACUGAAAGGAGGAACCUUCAUAAUUCACAUCACAGAGGACAGGGGGUACACCUUCAGCAGCGAGCACAAUCACCGAACCAAGGCAGAAUGCAGAGCCACGCUCUUUCCCUUCCUGCAGCUAACAGAGGAUGCACAAGGGAAGGCUUAUUUUUAGCAGUUAUGAACAAAAGCCAAUUGCAUGAGAGAGUUGUGGGCGACAAGGAAGCAAAUCACCUGGAAACAGCUACAGGAGCAAGCACCAUUUUGAGUGCUUUGUGUAAGCUCUAAUUCCUGAACAAUGCUUUUCUGUACUUCAAAAAAGACUUGUCAAAACAACUUCUGGAACAGAUGCAGCUUCUGACUGCCAUCUGCUGGCUACCCAGCUGCACCUUGGUGGGCCUCCACACUAGCACAAAGGGUGUAGCAACAAUGCCCAGGAAGGAAGCUAUGGGUUUCCACGGGUGCCAAAACAGCAAACCAAACUCUAGCAGAUUAAUUGCUUUUUCUUCCUAAGAACAGAUUUUCUACUAAGAUGGUAGUUUAUUUUCAAACUAACAGUAGUUGUAACUGCUAAAUAUUCCAAUGUAUUUUAUUGUGUGUGCUUUGCAGGUAGAAAUUAGUAAAGAAGCAUCCUAUUGCCAACCACAUCCUGAAAGAAGACGAUGUGAAACCAUGAAAAAAAAUGGCAUGCUAGCAUUUAACAUUCCCAGGAUGCUUUUUAUUCAAUUUUUACUUAUUUUGGCAAGACCACAAUUUUUCCAUCUAUCCAGGUUUCCCUGUGCCAUCUGUCUAUACUUGCAAUCAAACUGGCAAACAUUAUAGUAAAGGACAUUCCUGCAGUUUUAAUUUGCUGUCUGUAGACAAUUACAGACCACACUGGCUUAAUUCUUUGUUAUGCAUUUAUUCCAAAGUAACUCUUGAUGAUGUAACUGUGCCCCAGACCUACCGCUGAUUUAUGAUCAUUUGCUAUGAUGAUCAGCUGCUGUGCCAGACCAUUCAAAAGCCUUGUUCGAAGUGAGAGGUCCUCCAAGUCAUGGCGAAAGGGAAAUGCAAUCCCAUCAAUUACCACCAGUCGGACCUAAAUAUAGAAGAAAAGGAAAAACUACCAUUACUAUCCUACAAACUGACAAUAAAGAGCUGUAAGAUUCCUUCUUAA